rnacentral:rRNA from 1 species
UACGAAAGGUGCAAGCGUUACUCGGAAUCACUGGGCGCAAAGCGCACGUAGGCGGACUCGCAGGUCAAUUGUGAAAUACCUGGGCUCAACCCGGGAACUGCAGUUGAAACCGCUUGUCUUGAAUACCUGAGAGGGUGGGGGAAUACCUGGUGGAGAAGUGAAAUUCGUAGAGAUCAGGUGGAACACCGGAGGCGAAGGCGCCUGCCUGGCAGUGUAUUGACGCUGAGGUGCGAAAGUGCGGGGAGCAAACAGG